rnacentral:rRNA from 1 species
UACGAAGGGGGCUAGCGUUGUUCGGAUUUACUGGGCGUAAAGCGCACGUAGGCGGAUCGAUCAGUCAGGGGUGAAAUCCCAGGGCUCAACCCUGGAACUGCCUUUGACUAUCUCGAUCUGGAGUAUGGAAGAGGUGAGUGGAAUUCCGAGUGUAGAGGUGAAAUUCGUAGAUAUUCGGAGGAACACCAGUGGCGAAGGCGGCUCACUGGUCCAUUACUGACGCUGAGGUGCGAAAGCGUGGGGAGCAAACAGG